rnacentral:rRNA from 1 species
CGGUGGAGUAUGUGGUUUAAUUCGAUGCAACGCGAAGAACUUACCUGGUCUUGACAUCCCGGAGACCCUUAGGAAACUAGGGGUGCUUCCAUCUGGAAGAAUCUGGAGACAGGUGCUGCAUGGCUGUCGUCAGCUCGUGUCGUGAGAUGUUGGGUUAAGUCCCGCAACGAGCGCAACCCUUGCCUUUAGUUGCCAGCAGUUCGGCUGGGCACUCUAAAGGGACUGCCGGUGUUAAACCGGAGGAAGGUGGGGAUGACGUCAAGUCCUCAUGGCCUUUAUGACCAGGGCUACACACGUACUACAAUGGCCGAUACAAAGGGCAGCGACACUGCGAGGUGAAGCCAAUCCCGUAAAAUCGGUCUCAGUCCGGAUUGGAGUCUGCAACUCGACUCCAUGAAGUUGGAAUCGCUAGUAAUCGUGGAUCAGCAUGCCACGGUGAAUACGUUCCCGGGCCUU